CACGUAGGGGGCAAGCGUUGUCCGGAUUUAUUGGGCGUAAAGAGCUCGUAGGCGGUCUGUCACGUCGGCUGUGAAAACCCGGGGCUCAACCCCGGGCCUGCAGUCGAUACGGGCAGACUAGAGUGUGGUAGGGGAGACUGGAAUUCCUGGUGUAGCGGUGAAAUGCGUAGAUAUCGGGAGGAACACCAGUGGCGAAGGCGACUACCUGGCCCACGCUUGACGCUGAGGCGCGAAAGCUAGGGGAGCGAACGGG
rnacentral:rRNA from 1 species